rnacentral:lncRNA from 1 species
AGAGAACCGGACCGGAAAAGCUAGGAAAGAAGGAGACCGGAAAAAGAGGUAAAACUUCCACACUUUCAUUUGUAGAUCUAGGAUUUUUGGUGUAUGUUUUCGAAAUUUUGAGUUUGGAUUCGGGUAGAGGAAGGGAAAAGGAGUGUUUUGAUGUAAAAAAAUUCGAAAAAAAGCAAAAAAAAAAAAAACUCCGGCGCGGCGGCGCUCCGGCCGACCACCGCGCCGGAGCAGCUCCGGCCGCCCCUCUUCAUCUUCUCCGGCGCGCGUGUUCUUGAGGUAGGGGAGAGCUUCUCUCUCUAAGUUUAACUUAGAGAGAGAAGUGUUUUAGUUUUAUGGUUUUUUUUGUUGUUAAACUUGCUUUUAUACUAAUUUCUUUCUGCCGGAUCACACGCGCGCGUACUCAU